AUUGAACGCUAGCGGGAUGCUUUACACAUGCAAGUCGAACGGCAGCGCGGACUUCGGUCUGGCGGCGAGUGGCGAACGGGUGAGUAAUGUAUCGGAACGUGCCCAGUAGCGGGGGAUAACUACGCGAAAGCGUAGCUAAUACCGCAUACGCCCUACGGGGGAAAGCAGGGGAUCGUAAGACCUUGCACUAUUGGAGCGGCCGAUAUCGGAUUAGCUAGUUGGUGAGGUAACGGCUCACCAAGGCGACGAUCCGUAGCUGGUUUGAGAGGACGACCAGCCACACUGGGACUGAGACACGGCCCAGACUCCUACGGGAGGCAGCAGUGGGGAAUUUUGGACAAUGGGGGCAACCCUGAUCCAGCCAUCCCGCGUGUGCGAUGAAGGCCUUCGGGUUGUAAAGCACUUUUGGCAGGAAAGAAACGGCGCGGGCUAAUACCCCGUGGAACUGACGGUACCUGCAGAAUAAGCACCGGCUAACUACGUG
rnacentral:rRNA from 1 species